UGCCGGAUCGUCUAAUGGUAGGACGAUUGCCUCUGGAGCAGUUAAUCAUAGUUCGAAUCUAUGUCCGGCAA
rfam:Candidate division WS6 bacterium GW2011_GWC2_36_7 TS24_C0008, whole genome shotgun sequence.